AAAAGAGUGAAACACCACAUGUAACUAACAGUUAAACUGUAAGUCUAUGUCGUUGUUUUUUGUUUGAAUUGUUUACGUGUUCGCUGUGCGUGGGAAAUGAUAAGACAAGCGGAACUACGUAGCUAAUAACUGUUGUAACGGGGAUCCUUAUUGUAGCAACACACUUUUGGAGCGAAGGCAAUCCCGCGCUGUGUUAGCAAAAUUUUCAUGUCAUCGGGUGGGUGAAAUUCGUAAAGGUUGAAGUGUGUAUGUUAGGAUGGUAACAUUAUAAUAAUUAAGGAUGAAGUGUGAAUUCAUGCCAGGAAUAAUAAGGGUGAAGUUUGAUUUCCUCCCUUCUGUAAUAAGCAGCCAAUUAGUUAUUUUUCCUUUAUUCAUGUGUUUAAUCUGAUACUGUUAUAGCGCCGGCUAAACUGUUUAUGUAUGUAAGCACUUCAGAGUUAUACCAAGCUAAUAAGUCACUCGUAAGAUACGUUUGUAAGAGUGUGCUUAACUGUAUUUUAAUUUACUUUAGUUCUCACGGAAGGUGAUAAUUCUGACUAAAUCUACAUAAUAAAGCCGCUAGUUAAAAUCAAGGAACGGUUGUGCUCUUGGUUACUGGAGGGAGCAACACCACAACAGGAAUAAGGAUUAUGGAAAGUGUAAAAUUUCGUGGAACUGUGCCAAUUCAGAUGCCUUGCUUUAGCCAUAUCACUCAUACUGUUUCUCGUUUAGUCCAUCCAUAAAAGCAGAUCAGCUUUUGUUGCAUCCAGGAACUUGUAUAAUGUGCUUAUGUUAUGCUUAUAUGUUUGUGGGACCGUCAUUGGUGUCCCCCAGCCCAUCCCCUUUGUUGUGUGCCAAGCAUUCUUGUCAUUCUUUUAAGUCUCAAUCAUUCUUUUUGAUAUUUGUCUUCCUUUACAAAGGCACUGCAGAGGCUAAGAAGACGCAUGGAAACUCUAAAAGAAACGUAAUUCAACUUGUAAACCAGAUUUCAAAAGGAAAUAAUGAAUCCCGAAGCUCAGAUGUCAGACACCGAGGCUGCCAGUACCUCUGGGUCGAUAGUCCAUGUGUUGGAUGAUGCACCGCCGUUGAUCAGAACAGACAGCGUAUAUCCACACAGGUCGCACCAACCACUCCCCUUUACUGACCAGUAGGAGAGCCAUGCAGGCGGGCGAGAAGUGCCCCUUUGAAAUCCUCUUGACCCCCUUGGUCCCACUGGCAGAACAGCCUCCUAUCAAGCAG
ensembl:lncRNA